AUGGAUGCUGGCACUAAGACCGCACUCAGUCAGCUGUAUAAGGAAAUAAGCAAACAGGAAACAGCUCACCCAGAGGCGGCGCUCCUAGUGGCCGGGGACUUUAAUGCAGGGAAACUUAAAUCAGUUCUACCUCAUUUCUACCAGCAUGCUAAAUGUACAACCAGAAGGAAAAUAACUCUAGACCACCUUUACUCCACACACAGAGACGCAUACAAAGCUCUCCCUCUCCCUCCAUUUGGUAAAUCAGACCACAACUCUAUCCUCCUGAUUCCUGCUUACAAGCAAAAACUAAAGCAGGAAGCACCAGGGACUCAGUCUAUAAAAAAGUGGUCAGAUGAAGCAGAUGCUAAACUGCAAGACUGUUUUGCUAUCACAGACUGGAACAUGUUCCGGGAUUCUUCCGAUGGCAUUGAGGAGUACACCACAUCAGUCACUGGCUUCAUCAAUAAGUGCAUUGAGGACGUCGUCCCCACAGUGACUGUACGUACAUACCCCAACCAGAAGCCAUGGAUUACAGGCAACAUUCGCACUGAGCUAAAGGGUAGAGCUGCCGCUUUCAAGGAGCGGGACUCUAACCCGGAAGCUUAUAAGAAAUCCUGCAAUGCCCUCCGACGAACCAUCAAACAGGCAAAGCAUCAAUACAGGACUAAGAUUGAAUCAUGCUACACCGGCUCCGACGCUCGUUGGAUGUGGCAGGGCUUGCAAACUAUUACAGACUACAAAGGGAAGCACAGCCGAGAGCUGCCCAGUGACACGAGCCUACCAGACGAGCUAAAUCACUUCUAUACUCGCUUCAAGGCAAGCAACACUGAGGCAUGCAUGAGAGCAUCAGCUGUUCCGGACGACUGUGUGAUCACGCUCUCCGUAGCCGACGUGAAUAAGACCUUUAAACAGGUCAACAUACACAAGGCUGCAGGGCCAGACGGAUUACCAGGACGUGUGCUCCGGGCAUGUGCUGACCAACUGGCAGGUGUCUUCACUGACAUUUUCAUGUCCCUGAUUGAGUCUGUAAUACCAACAUGUUUUAAGCAGACCACCAUAGUCCCUGUGCCCAAGAACACUAAGAUAACCUGA
rnacentral:lncRNA from 8 species